rnacentral:lncRNA from 1 species
AGACUCUUUCUUCAGGUUUCCUGUUAGCUGCCAGCUUGUGUGAAACAGGCUGGUGGGAGGGUUAGAGAGCGACCCCAGGGAGUAAAGAGCAGGGCUCUCAAGUCUCACGCAUUCAGUGUGUGACACACGCAUUCCCACCCGUUCACACGCUCACACGCCACACAUUGUAUUUCUCACGCAUUUAAAUGAACAUGGUGAUGUCCACCAAGUUGCACCUCUUUAACUAUGGAACAGGUAGGAAUCAACUGAGUUCCUCCGAGAGUUCAGCCAAUCAAAUAAAGUAUAUCUACUGAACAGCCAAUAAAAAAGCAGCAUUGCUGUAUCCGGGUAGAUUUUGAUAUCUUACGGUUUGACUACAGAAGAAGACAGACACUCGCCGUAAUAGAGCAGGUUUUUAUAAGGACGAGAUAGACCCGAUGAUUACAGUAAGUCAGUAACCUACACAUGCAGAGACCUCGACACCUCAUGGCAUAUAAACUCAUAUGAUAAACUAAAGCCCUAUGCUAUUGCUAUUAACAGCUGUAUUGACGGAUUUAGCCUCUGUACAGCCAUUUCCAGCCAUUUUCCCCUCCACAAAAGCAGCAUUUCUCAUAUAGGCCUAUCUUAAAUAUAAGUUGUGAUACUCAUGACAGUGUAAUGCUCAUGUACCAAAGGAUUAAGUAGCUCCAUGUUUGUGAAACCUAUACUAAAGUACAAUUCAUCUAAAUGCUCCACAAUGCUGAUUUUAACAACUCUCCUUCACAACAGGUAACUUUACGACUUAAUACUGAUAUUAAUGACUUUAUUCUCCCAAAUAAUAACUUUAUUCUUUAAGAUUUAAAAACGUUUUUUUUUUCUUAUUGUGCCCCUUAUACUCCGUUGUAUUUAAGAGAUAAUUAUACUAAUAAUUAUCUUCAAUCACGAAAAAUAACCUCAACUUUACUUAGAGAGAUAUUUAUAUUCCAUUGAGAUUAAAGUAAAUUAAAGAUAAUAUUAAACUUUUAGAUAUAACCUACCAGUGUAAGGGUUUUUCUAAAGUAAACAGCAUUUUAAAUCUCCAUGGUAACCUGUAACGAUGUAAAAACUUUAAAUCAUUACAAGCAAAAGAGAGCGGUCAUUUCUGAAGAUCAAAUCUGAAGAGAACAGCACGAAAAACUUAAGCGGCUCACGACCUUACAACUUUUGACGGCUUCAUAGAAAAUAAAACCUCACCAGACGACUAAGGACUCGGACUAACACCUCUAACCAACACCUGAACAGAAAGGACAACAUCUACGACAUGGAGACCGUAAGAUUUCAUGACAAUAUUAUCAUACAAACUUGUGUUACUGUCGAGACUUUCGUGAUGGUUAAGCGAUGCAUCGACAAUGAUUAAAUGUGUGCAUGGAUAUUUACAGUGUUUAUGACUUUAAUGUGACAGGCAUUAUCAAAACUAGAAAAAAUUGCAUUUCCUUGCAGAAAAUGCGUGGAAAUGCUGAGUGAUUGUAAGGAUGCCUAGCCCAGGUUCACACUAGAAAGAAUCGAAGGUCCACACGAAUGAUCAUUUUGACAAGCUUUACUGAUUACAUAUCUGGGUUACAGCUUCAGCAGGCCACAAGUGUGACCAACAGUGGUCCUCUCCAAGUGUAGCAAAGAGUGACCACCCCAAGUGUAGCAAAAAGCGGUCCACCCCCAAGUGUGGCCAACAUGAGUGUAGCCAAGAGUGGUCCAAGACCAUUCAAGUAUAUAUAGCGAUUCACAAUCCUAAACAUACUGUUGGUAUUUAGUUGACCCUAAGAGAAAACCAUGUAUGGUAAAAACAAAGGACAACAUAUUUCAAAAGCCUUAGAUGAACAUGUGGAAGGUCCCAAGAAGGAAAUAUCAUGGCAAACAUAUUUUGGGGACCUACAUGGUGUAAAUAAUGUGUACAGGGUUCCUUGCUCAGGGAUGGUUGUAGGAGGCCCCCGGCUCCAGCAAUCUAACACCAAAGUGUCUGGGGUAUUUGAGUGACACAGCUCCACCACUCUAAAGGCUGACAUGACUGGCUAAAGAAACUCAUCCUAACAGUCCUCACUUUUUUUUUUUUUUUUUUUUUUAAACAUGCCAAUUGUUCAUAAAUAAUUGCUGCUGGAACAGAUGAUAAAUAAGACUGGUGACCAGGGUCACUUAAAACAAAAGAGUGGAUUGAUGAAACAAACAUAAGAAGGGUCAGCCACCCAAACCAGCCCACAAAGGGUCGUCAGAUUUGAGGCCACCCUCUACCCUAGACCAACAAUUGAACCAGCUAAACCCUACAAAACCAUGAACAAAAGCCGCGAAAACAGAACUUAUCAAUCCACCUGAAAGUAAUCUAGGUGAUAACUUUAUAUUGCAACUAAAGUAAAGCAUGUUCUUUUAACUCAGUGGAGUGAUGUAUCUUGUGUCAGCUAAUACGUGGUGGAGAAUGAUACUUUUACACUAGAAUCUCUGAAGUGGUGACCGACACUGUGAUCACAUGGGGAACAUCAUAUAUGGUCAGGAUAUAUGCCAUCCCAUCGUUGGAAUCUCCUGAUGACUCAGAUGACUCAGAAUCGGAGACCCACGGUUUCCAUUUGAAUGGGGAAGAGAUAAGGGCAUACGCUGUUUGGACUGGAUCCUGCACAAAAGACGUAUUGACAACAUCACAAACAGAUUAUGAUUAGUGUACAGAAAAUGGAAGUUCUCUGGAAUCCUUGAGAGAUUUGGCUGCUAAGACUAAAAAUCUAGUGUAAAUUUUAGCAGGCCUUAUGACGAAUUGGUAAUUGUUAACAUUUUUAUCUGAGGUUUCUUCUCUUUCUUGGUCAAACCUAGCAGUUUAAGCAAUCCAUAAAGAGGCACAUGCAUCUUCCUAGUCAUAGUUCUUUUGACAUGAGUCAUUAGCCUUUGGAUUGUUUGACUAUUCUACCCCCUUUUCUUCACAUGUCCACCAAACGUUGAGCUGUCCUUCCAGUCCUAGAGAGAAAAACAACUCACAGAUAGAGAUGUCGUUAGUAACAACUGUACAAAUUGCAUUCGUGACACUAUGAAUGUAAGCUAGGAGUAAAUCGUACGCUAGUUAAGGGAGCGUAAUCUGUUGCCCAUCAUAUUUUUAUAAUACAUCAGCAACCCUGUUACACUUCUUUAUCUGUUAUAUGUUUACUUUAAAAUCAGUGGCCCGGCUUUAAAGCAAAAUUAAGUCAUCAACGGAAAACGGCGGCACAGAAGGUUGUAUGGAUGGGAACUAGGAACCAAUCAAGGAGGAAAUGGUGCAUCAAGUGCCGCUUUUUCUUUUGCAAAUUGUCUGCUAAUUUUCGUUGUCUCUGGUCACUUCUUUGUCAGAUAGUAAAUGUGUUGUUACAUUUCACAAUAGCGUGUAGGAUACAACAUCUUAAUUUUGAUUAUCAACAAGUGCAUAACCUGCCAUUGUAGGGUCUACGCGCAGAACCAUAAAAUCAUAGUUCUCCAGUGGAGUCUGUUGCAUCUUAACUCUUACUCUAAAUGUCGAAUUGAUUAAGUUCAAGCAAUCUAGUGACGGAAUUUCAGCCAUCUCUUUGUUACCAUGCAGCAAUGACUUCAAGUGUAUCACUAGAUAAAUAUAAGUGACUGUUGAAAAGGGAAGUUUUGGUGUUUCAGCUAACAUGCGUUUUUAGGUUCAUCACCUCAGACUGAUAUGCUGUGUGAUUAUGUUGCGGUGACCAACAUUCACUGUGUGUAUAGCAUGCUGUAUUAGUGGAUAUCGUAACACUGUAGUCUGUGCCUAUUUAAACGUAAUCGCCACAGCCAUCAUAGCUCGCAAACAUGAGACUAUCAUUUGAACAAGUAUCGUUGGGGAUUUGGAAUAAUAGACAACAGGUCUCAAUCCUUAAUCAAGCACCCUCGUCAGAACAGCAGUGGGGACUCUUGUCAUCCGCCAUACGAAGGUGAAAGCCCAGGUUGUACUCCGGAAAUCUUGAUGUUGGAGCAGUGCAGAGAAAAUAUUCGAUACAACGAAAGACGUGUUUCAUGCCAUUAGUCCAGUUCAUAAUGUCCAGUGCAUCCUAGGGCGUUGACUCUUGGAGCAUAGGAUCAUGGACGGCAUAAUUACCAGCCAUGCUUGACUAUAGUCCACCAGACGCAGAAGGGAUACCUGUUCAGGUUUGUUCUUUUUUUUUUUUUUAACAUGGUCCUUCAGUGUCCUUUAUGGCUGUCACACAAUCAGGAGAGAGAUAUCUGCACCCAGCUCUCAAGAUGUAUUCAAGGUAGUUGACAGAUUCUCAGCAGAAUUGAAGCUCGGCAAGGAAUGUCCUGUGACCUGUCUCGGCCAAAUGUAUCCGUGGGGCCAAGGAAUCCAGUAUGAAGUCUUUUCAGUCUCUGGGUAAAGAAGCAGGUCAUCCGAAUACUGGAGGAUACAGGAUUGACAUGGCAAAGUUGGAUGAGACAAGUGCAAAUCGACAGCUAAAUAACCUGUGGCGAAAUCAACAAAUCCCAUAGGUAGUUCUUUCCAGCCAUAUUAUUAAUUCGUGUACGUAAACGUAGAGAAAUUUUGUGUCUCUUUAUGUACAAUGAUAGAGAAAUAUACAGAGCAUGAAUUGAGUUAGUAUAGAAGCUAGAAUUAGAAGGUUGUGCGGUUAAAACUGAGUCAAUAUCAGACAAUAUUAAAGCAAUGGAUUACACUACUUUAUUGAGUGACUAUUUUCCUCUGUAGAAAUUUGAUUUUUGUCCUCACUCUUCAAAAUCUCAAUGUUGUUGGUUCAGAUGCAGUAGACCGGAUGAUGUCUUAGCACUGACUAUCAGUAACUGUUGCAUGAAAGAGAUGUUAUCCUAAUCAAGGCCUUGUUGGAGUGACCAGAGAUACCAAUAGAUUGAACAGAAAAACUACUCAAAUGGCCAAUUCAAUUUGUUCAGGAUCUUGUUCCUCCUCCUGAAAACCCUUGGUUCCUUGAUUGGCACCAUACCCCAUCCUCUAAGAAUCAUUCUGCAAAAAGAGAUCAGAGGUUAUUUGAGGCAUAAAGUGAAGUUGUACUUGGUUCACAUUACUUUUUUGAGGACUCCUGCUCCUUCCCACAGGAGGCUGUCCUACUACGAGUCCAGUUACAUGACAGUGAAGGCAUCUGUCAGUCAUGACUUACUAUAAGUAUGGGAAAUAUGCCUUGAAUGUGCAUGUCAGGUAUCCUUUUACAGUCUCACUCUGUCACUAAGGCUUUGACCUGUGUCAGAUAUACACUUUCUGUUAAGUCAUAAAUUGUAUUACAAUUCUGGAUACAUUGAUGAAUACAUUUAUCUUAAAGGAUGUAUGUUGAAAGAUUUGACCCUCCCAACAUCUGAGUAUAACAAGGGGACUACUUUUGUUGGCAUUGGGCAGGGCUGUUCAUCAUAAUUUAACAUGUACAAAUAGUGAACUGUCAUCUUCAUAACUUACAUAAUUCACAGACGCACUAGGUAGGUUUACAUGAGGAGACACUGAACCUAGGAGCUGCAAGAGGGUGUAACAAUAAGCUUGCUUCUUCAUUUUUUACUUGAACAGUUUCUUAAGUCAUAGAGUAAACUUUUUGUUUUUCUUUUUUAAGCUUACUAAGAUUCAGAGGAAACUGAUGAGCCACCUAAAUCUACACCUUUGUCAUGUAGUCUUGAUUCCAUAGAAAACUAUCAAUGGUUAUGUUAUUCAUUAGAUACUCUCGUACAACAUCUUAUUUCCUUCUGUUUCUAUUUUUGUUAUUUUUUAUACUUUCCUAUCAUUCUGAUACUUAUUAGUUUUUUUUUCUUUUCUCUUAUUAAAACUGUUGUCCAUAGAAAAUCCAUCGUCAGAGCACUCAGCCAAAUUUAUAAAAAGGUUCAUCGUAAUAGAACCCCAGCUUCACUUGCACCCACUCCCUGGCUGACAUCUAAACUACAAACAUGAUUGGAACGAUGUCUAACUGUGGAACAGUUUCAAGCAUUUCAUUGAUCACUUUUCAUCCUUUUCUUGGUAGAUCUAGCUUCGAUUUUUCUUUGUAUUUAUUUAUUUAGCUAUUUUUAUUUUUAUUUUUAUUUUUUUACCACGUGGCUUUCUGAAUUUACUGGUUUGUGACCUCAGUGCGAGGAUUAUUACUUGCGAUUAGUAAAUCUAUGGUUAUUUGUGAGUAUGCAAAGCGUCAAAAGGUUCGUGUGGUUCAUCCAUCUGUACUUUAGGUCAAAUUCCAUCUUUAAAAAAAAUACAUCCUGAAGAAUUGAGACUGGUAUGGGUCGAUAUUAUGCAAUACGUAGAUACAUAAUCACACUACAACUGCCACUGAAUAAAUCGGGGCCGUCAAGCGGUCAGGCCGUUCAAACAGAGACAGAAGUACCUGUUAAUGACUGAAUCGGGGCCGUCGUGCGGUCAAUCCGUCAGACUAUUAAACAGAAACAACAAUAACACAACCGCGUCGUCCAACGACGUCUUCAUAUAAAAAACCAGAAGUACCACUCUGCUAAUGACUGAAUCGGGGCCGUCGAGCGGUCAGGCCGUCAGACACUUAGACAGAAGUACCAAUAACACAACCACGUCAUCCAAGGACGUCUUCUUAUAAAAAAACAGAGGUACCAAUUCCAUAUUUAUCAACAUGUCCUCCAAGGACUUCAGUAUCUAUUCUUGUCUCUCUGGACACCUAUAUUCACACUAUCCAUCUACUGCGAGUGGGCCCACCCUAAUAUUGAUUAAUAUCGACACAUCUCAGCAAGCAAAUUCAGGGAACUAUUAAUGUUGUAUUAAAUUAAAUACAGUAUCCAUUCAGACUAUCAAAAGUUUAGAAGCCAAUUGUACAAGGGCUACUAGGCAUCCCAUAGCAGAGGUAUCUUUUUUAAUGCUCAAAUCAGGUAAGCAAUACAAUCACAAGUGGAUUGAAUAAUUAAAGAUGCUUACCUUUUUUUGGUGAUUAAUCCUGUUCGUGACGCCAAAUUGUAAGGAUGCCUAGCCCAGGUUCACACUAGAAAGAAUCGAAGGUCCACACGAAUGAUCAUUUUGACAAGCUUUACUGAUUACAUAUCUGGGUUACAGCUUCAGCAGGCCACAAGUGUGACCAACAGUGGUCCUCUCCAAGUGUAGCAAAGAGUGACCACCCCAAGUGUAGCAAAAAGCGGUCCACCCCCAAGUGUGGCCAACAUGAGUGUAGCCAAGAGUGGUCCAAGACCAUUCAAGUAUAUAUAGCGAUUCACAAUCCUAAACAUACUGUUGGUAUUUAGUUGACCCUAAGAGAAAACCAUGUAUGGUAAAAACAAAGGACAACAUAUUUCAAAAGCCUUAGAUGAACAUGUGGAAGGUCCCAAGAAGGAAAUAUCAUGGCAAACAUAUUUUGGGGACCUACAUGGUGUAAAUAAUGUGUACAGGGUUCCUUGCUCAGGGAUGGUUGUAGGAGGCCCCCGGCUCCAGCAAUCUAACACCAAAGUGUCUGGGGUAUUUGAGUGACACAGCUCCACCACUCUAAAGGCUGACAUGACUGGCUAAAGAAACUCAUCCUAACAGUGCUGAAACCUGAAAAAGCAAUGCUAAACUGCUAAAAAAAAAUGGAGGAAGGUUUAAAUGUAAACUUGGUUAAAGAGCUGGAGAAAGAAAAGUAGAAGUUGGAUGAAAGUGAAAAUUGCUGAAGUACAAAUAGUAUGAAUGUGCUUCAUAAAUUAAAAUUGCAUUCAUGCUAAAUAAGGCUAGAAAAACUGUCUGAAAUUGCAAAAAAAAAAUGGAUAAGGAAGAAAAUUACCUUAAAACACAGAAAAGUAAGAAGCGGCAUAAGUUUAAGUUGAAGUACUAGAAGAAGUAUGAUAAUAGGUAGUUGUACUAGUGAUAUUAGUAGUCAUGUAAGCAGUAGAAGUAGUUUUAGAAUAGAAGAAGUAGAAGUCAAAGCAGUAGAGCUCGUGGUAGAAGUAAAAAAAAUAUUAAGAGAAGCAAGAGCAGUGGAGGUAGAAGUGAAGAUACAAGUUAAAGUGAUAUAAGUAGUAAUUGUAGUGGUAGAACUGGGAUUUUGUUUGAAGAAUUAAAACAUACAUAAAUAAUGAGAAUGAUUUUGAAGAGGGAAAAAUUUUUAAUAAUUAGAAAUCCUAAAGUGUUAAACAGGUUUGAAGUAUCAGAAAGGUUUGAAUCAGUUUGAAAGAGUUUGGAUUUGUCUGACGAAUUUAAUAAUGCAUGAAUAAUGAGAAUAAUUUUAAAGUGGGUAAAAGUUAAAUGAAUAAAAUACGGAGUACAUCCCAUAAUGUCCUCAAUGAGCUGAAUUUUUGAAGCCCAGAAUGGUUUCUGUAGCUCAAAGUUUGUGGGUGGAGAUAGGUGGUGAAGCAGACACAUAUUAACUGUGUGUACAAGCAGGUCUUUUAGACACAGACACAGACACACGCACACACAUUGUCAGACUGUUUGUGUGUGUGUCUCGUUAAUGAUUGCAUCCUAAACAGCUGUGAGAUCAAAGGCAUUAACUGACCUACUGUUUGAAUGAGAAGCUGCCUCUGGACUUCUUCACAUAGCGUGAUUUCCUUAUAUCCCAGAAUGAAAAUAAGAACAUUGUACGAAUCCUCCGCCCUUCAUGAACACAAUGAAUGUGGCCACAACAGCGAGUUAAAAGUCUAGACGUUCGGAUGGUUAUCUUUAAAGUGAUGCAUUGACAUCACAUAAAAGUCCUGCCCACCAUGUCAAAGACUCUUCGUGCUUAAGAGCAGAAAAGCUCAUGUUAUUGUGAGAAAUCUCUAUAAGAGAUUUUUUUAUGUCUUCUGGGCUAUUUAAAGCCGUCAGUCUGAAACUUAAUUGACAGUUUCUUUUAUACUAACCAAUGCUUUCUUAUUUCUUCUUUAAAUCUGCACAGAAGAGUCAACCGUUUCCUGUAAAAGGAGAAGCUCCGAGAAUUGCGUGCUCGGGCUUCAACAGGAGGUAAGAAACGCAUUUAACUUAUGAUGACAGUAAAAUGCAAACUCAAAUUUAUAGGGGUGUGAUAUUAAAGAGUAGUUUACCAAUGUGUCUCUAAAACAAUCUUUUACCUCUUUUGCAUUUAAUAUGCAGAGUGUAACAUUUGAAACAUGACAGAGACCUCCCAGCAGAUUAUAAUCUGAGACAGUUCAGAGUUAAAUCUGUGACAGUGCCAGCAAAAAUCUAAAGAUUCGCAAAUUUAGGAUUUGAUUUUGGACUUACACUGUGUUGUGUUUCAUACUCUUUUUGUCACAAGACACAUGUAUUUAUGUGAUACAUUUCAGUGGUUAUUUUAACUGAAUAAGACAAUUCAAAGGCUUCACAUAAGACAUUUACUGAUCAAUUAAUCAGUCAGACAAAGGAAAUGUGUAAAAACACUAAAUGAAAUAAAGAAGUUUUAUCAUCGUUUGCUCUUACUGGGAGUCUCUAGUCAAAAACUAGUAAAGUCAGGUAUGAUAGAUAAGACACUCCUUUAUUAGUCCCACAAGGGGAAAUUCCCAGAAAGGGAAACAAAGACCAUUUUAAUUUACUGUGUUUGAAAUUGAAGGAAAAACAUGUUUUGUAUGAGGCCUUUCCCAGAUAAUAUGCAUUAAAAAAGCUUUGCUUUAAAAACGCUGUGUCAACUUAAAGAGAUUCAGCACUUAGGUUUUUAAUGAAUAAGUGUGAACAAAGAGGGGGUUCAUUUAUCAAUAACAACAACACAAAAACAGGGAAUAACCUUCAGGUAUUUUAAACCACUGUGAGUGUGCUGUAUUAUUUUUGAUACAUAAAGACACUUUUUCAGUUUGACUCUGAUACUUCCUCAAAGACCAUCCAGUGCGUGUUUAUUGUAUUUUAUCGUCUGAAUAUCACCAUGGUUUGAGUCUGUGUGACUGUCAUGUGUCUCUGCAGAUAUUUCUGUUUAUAGAUUUAUUUUGUUCAUUAAAAUAACCAACCUGUGUUUCUGUGUUGACCAGUGACACUGCGUCAGAGGCUUCUAAUGCAGAAAAGUGCUGCCCAACGAACUUUUGGCUGCACAGGCUGUUUGGUCAACCUCUGGUAUGUUUCAGAGCUGUUAAAAUAAGAUCAUUUUAUAAGUGUGACAUUUAAAAUCAGACACUACAAAUAUUUGACACAGUGGGUUUUCAUUUUUAUAUUUGUUGUUACUCCACAGAGAAAAGUCAGAAGUCUAAUCAGCCUUCAGCGGAGGUGAGUAAACUGCUCCAACAAUCAGCUGUUUAUUUGUGCAGCCACAAAAGCUUCUGAUAAAUGUUGACUAGUCACUGCAGACUCCUUAAAAACAUCACUAGAGGUUGUUAAAACAAAUGUCACCACACGGUAAUGGUGUGUGCUUGUGUCUGCAGAGAUGUCACCUCCAAUGGUCUGGCUGGCUCCACAGCACCCCCACCUGGGGAGAAAAACAAGAAACUGAAGGAGAAGAAAUGGAGUUGUUCUUGGUUUUUGAAGUGCUGUAGUGUAAGUAAAGCAUAGGAAUACCAGUCUGGACUUCAGUGUUGUUAUAAGCAUUAGUGUUGGUUUAUCUUUCAGUUGAUUCUGUUACUGACAAAUCAAAAUUAUUUUUACUCCAUUAGAGAGAAAAGCGUGUGUCUCCUCUCUCUGAUCAUAAAGAUCAGUAAAAGCCUCCUCGGGAACUCCAGAGAAGGUAACAAACUCAUUUUGUUCACAGGAUGGAUCAAUUUUGGUGUCACCUGAUGAGUUAAAUCAUCACGUGACACAAAUCAGGUGUUAUCAAUUCUUUCUUAAAGCUCCCGUGAGUAAUUUUUGGUUUGUGUUGCUUCUUAUGCUUCUUUUCAUAACCUCUCUUUCAAAUUGUGUUAAGUCUUGUUUUCAAACAAAAAAUCUCCCUGCUCAAUUUUAAAAGUCAUUGGUCAUCUUCACCUGAGAUAUUUUUGAAAAAGCCUUUUUAAAAAGCUUCAAUUUAGCUAAAUCAUCUGACACCUACACCCCUGACAACAGUUUCUAACCUCACAAAUAACUUUGUAGAGAUGAACAAACCCUUCAAAGGUGGUCUGAUUUGCUUUUUAAGGCCACACAGAGGCAUCCCUAUCAAUAUCAGUCAGUUAUAAUCGGCUGAAAAUUCCCCACAGUAGCUUUAACAUGAAAUCACUUGUACAUGAAAAUCAGUAUAUCUGCUAAAAAGGCCCGGCCCCUUUUUUUUCCCCCCCUUGAAACACACUCACAGUCUGUUCCUCAGUCUUUAAAUAAUUUAUUUAUAUAUUAAGAAGCGCUGUAAUGCUGUAGAAUAGCCAACUUGAUUUUUUGACUUUAAAUUUAAAUGAAAAGAGCAGUUGAAUACACACUUUCUGUACCAGAUUUAAUGUGGAGGUUGAUAUCUCAAUAAAGAAAGUUAUGGUUUGAGUUAGCUUGAGGUUAUCGCUUUCAUCCCCUUUUUAACUUUAUGUUCUUACUUGGGACAUGUUUUGAUUGGCAUUGAAAGUCAAUAAGGAUUAUUGGCAGUGCUGGUAAUGUGAAUUAAAAACUCUUGAGUGUUGUGUUGGUCAAAUCUCGUCUCCUUAAAUUCAAUCCCACUUCGAUCUCAAUACUGAUUUUUGCUAAAAUAACCUUCUUUUCCACGUUUUUGAGGUCAACUGUAAAAUAGGAUUCAGUACAAGUAGAUUACUAGCCCCACACACUUGUAGCUCUUUGCUGUUCAUUGUUAUUAAGUGGAAAUGCUGAUUAAGCAUUUCCACUUAUUGUUCUUCCCGUCGGCCAUUUUGUUUAUUAUUGUUAUUAUUAUUAUUAUUAUUAUUAUUAUUAUUAUUAUUAUUAUUAUUCCGCCAAUUUUCGUCCGCUUCUAACUCCUUCCUACUUUGUGCUAUUUAAACCAUUCAAACUUUAAACUGUUCCACUCCUUCAGGACAUGAGGGCUCGUACUUUUUACCUUUCUACCUUUUAUACUUUUUUUUUUUUUUUUGACAAAAGAGGUUUCAAAUUAUUAAAUCGUACCCCUCGGCCAGCAGGUGACCAACUGUCCAUAUAGCCGAAAAUCUCUCCCAUUGGCCCUAAUGUGA